ACAAUGGAAUCCACUGAGGGAAGAAAGCCUGGUUCUUUAGUAGCCUGUGUGCCAGGACAGGUGCGGCCGGCACUGAAAACCUGCGUAACGUCUGCUGUAGAGCCACCCCCCAAAGUCAAGUGGACUUGGACUUGGAUUUGGACAUUCUCAGGUUUCAUUAUGAUGCGUGGUGGAUGACAGAUGGUAUAGUUCAAUGUGACUCCUGGACACUGGAUUAAUCUCCUGAAAGGAAAUUGCCAGAGUCUGAAACUAGAUUGGACUCUCCCCAUUCCAGUCUGAAACUCGUGAGGGCUGUAAAUCCCGGAUUUACGGAUGACCACCUGCUCGUUUCCCCUACUUAUGCGUGAAGGCAGAUGAUUCUUCAAAUGAAAGAUGGAAGCUGACUUCUCACCAGGAACGAUCCUUCAGAAUCAAUCACUUUGCAAUUGUGUAAGAGGUAGCAAAGGAAAAGAAAAUACUGUUUGUUCUUUUAUUUUUGAAACUGGUAGAUUGUAAAACUCCAUGAAAGCCUAGCCAACAUACAAAUUAAAAUAAUAUUUAAAGUGAAA